rnacentral:rRNA from 1 species
CUACGGGGCGGCUCCAGUGGGGAAUAUUGGACAAUGGGGGAAACCCUGAUCCAGCAAUGCCGCGUGUGUGAAGAAGGCCUGCGGGUUGUAAAGCACUUUCGGUUGGGAGGACUGCUUCUAGCACUAAUAUUGUUGGAAGUUGACGUUACCUUCAGAAGAAGCACCGGCUAACUCCGUGCCAGCAGCCGCGGUAAUACGGAGGGUGCAAGUGUUAAUCGGAAUUACUGGGCGUAAAGCGCGCGUAGGCGGCUAGAUCAGUCGGGUGUGAAAGCCCCGGGCUUAACCGGGGAACUGCAUCCGAUACUGUCUAGCUUGAGUACAGGAGAGGAGAGUGGAAUUCCACAUGUAGCGGUGAUAUGCGUAGAUAUGUGGAGGAACACCAAUGGCGAAGGCAGCUCUCUGGCCUGAUACUGACGCUGAGGUGCGAAAGCGUGGGGAGCAAACAGGAUUAGAUACCCGGGUAGUC